rnacentral:pre_miRNA from 1 species
AAUAAGUGCAGCUGUGGAUAUCCAUGCCCAACGUUUGACCGUCCAUCUUAUUUGAAAAUUUUGUAAAAAAAUUAAAAAUAUUUAGUCACACAUAAAGUAUUAUUCAUGUUUUAUCAUCUAAUAGCAAUAAAAAUACUAAUAAUAAAAAAUUUUCAAAUAAGACAAACGGUCAAACGUUGAACGUAAAUAGUGCAAAACUGCACCUAUU